rnacentral:rRNA from 1 species
AACGAACGCUGGCGGCAUGCCUAACACAUGCAAGUCGAACGAACCCUUCGGGGUUAGUGGCGCACGGGUGCGUAACGCGUGGGAAUCUGCCCUUGGCUUCGGAAUAACAGUUAGAAAUGACUGCUAAUACCGGAUGACGUCGCAAGACCAAAGAUUUAUCGGCCAGGGAUGAGCCCGCGUAGGAUUAGGUAGUUGGUGGGGUAAAGGCCUACCAAGCCGACGAUCCUUAGCUGGUCUGAGAGGAUGAUCAGCCACACUGGGACUGAGACACGGCCCAGACUCCUACGGGAGGCAGCAGUGGGGAAUAUUGGACAAUGGGGGCAACCCUGAUCCAGCAAUGCCGCGUGAGUGAUGGAGGCCUUAGGGUUGUAAAGCUCUUUUACCCGGGAUGAUAAUGACAGUACCGGGAGAAUAAACUCCGGCUAACUCCGUGCCAGCCGCCGCCGUAAUAC